AUUCUCCUGCCUCAGCUUCCGGAGCAGCUGGGACUGCUGGCGCCCGCCACUACGCUCGGCUAAUUUUUUUGUGUUUUUAGUAGAGACGGGCUUUCACCGUGUUGGCCUAGCGGUUCUCCAACUCCUGACCUCAUGAUCCCCCCGCCUCAGCCUCCCAAAGUGCUGGGAUUACAAGCGUGAGCCACCGCGACCCGCCAACACUCUUGACAACAGUGCUGUGCUAAGAACUUGGGGGACUUCAAAAAGUUCACCAGUUCCUGUGUCCAUGGGUGAAAAGAUUUUCUACAUCUUUCCUUGACUAGAAACAGAAGUCCUGAAACAAGGUACACCUUCUUGAGGCUUACUUGAAUAUAACGUCAGGAGGCCAGAGGCUUUGUCCUGCCUAAUGUGUUAUUUCCACACUGAAUAAAAGCACCUGAGUCCUGGCAUAUGGCAAGGGAGUAAAGCCAAACUUUUUACCACAUGGCAAAAAUAAUUGUAUUUUGCAACAGACUAAAAGCUUAAUGCUAUACAGACUUUGGGUUGGUGGAGUUACUUGAGGAUUUACUCCAGCAAAACAAAAAAAAGAAUGAAAGAAAGAGAAAGAUAAAAAUAUGAAAGAAGCAACAGACCUAUUCCAGAAAUGUAAUGAAAAAAGGCCACGAAGUUUGACAACUAUGUAUUAAAUUUACAAUCAGUCCAAAUUAGACUGGUAGUCAGAUUGAUAUGAGAAGUACAUUUUCAAAAAGAUGUACUAUACCAAAUAAUAUGAGUGCAAAACUCUGGAUGAUUUUAGUAAUAAUGUGAAGACACAUAUUUCUUUUGACAAUUAAAAAAAAGAAAAUGAAUUGGAAACUUCAGGAAACGUCAGAAAAUACAAAAUGCUCUGUAGGAAGUAAUUGUCUAAAUGAGAGGUGAAGCCAGUGGGACUUCCUGGAUUGGAUGGGGACUUGGAGAACUUUUCUGUCUAGCUAAAGGAUUGUAAACACACCAAUCAGUGCUCUGUGUCUAGCUAAAGGAUCGCAAAUGCACCAAUCAGCACUCUGUAAAAAUUCUGUGUCUAGCUAAAGGUUUGUAAAUGCACCAAUCAGCAAUCUGUUAGAAUGCACCAAUCAGUGCUCUGUGUCUAGCUAAAGGUUUGUAGAUGCACCAAUCAGCACUCUGUAAAAACGCAUCAAUCAGCGUUCUGUGUCUAGCUAAAGGUUUGUAGACACAUCAAUCAGCACUCAGUAAAAACGCACCAAUCAGCACUCUGUAAAAUGGACCAGUCAGCGCUCUGUAAAAUGGACCAAUCAGCAGGAUGUGGGCGGAGCCAAUAAGGGAAUAAAAGCUGGCCACCAGAGCCAGCCAGUGGCAACCUGCUUGGGUCCCCUUCCACCCUGUGGAAGCUUUAUUCUUUUGCCCUUCACAAUAAAUCUUGCUGCUGCUUACUCUUUGGGUCUACAUUACCUUUAUGAGCUGUAUCGCUCACCAUGAGGGUCUGCGGCUUCACUCCUGAGGUCAGCGAGACCACGAACCCACUGGGAGGAACAAACAACUCCAGAAGCACAACCUUUAAGAGCUGUAACACUCACUGUGAAGGUCUGUGGCUUCACUCCUGAAGUCAGCGAGACCACGAACCCACCAGAAGGAAGAAACUCCGGACACAUCUGAAAUCUGAAGAAACAAACUCUGGACACACCAUCUUUAAGAACUGUAACACUCACUGCGAGGGUCCCCGACUUCAUUCUUAAAGUCAGUGAGACCAAGAACCCACUGGAAGGAACCAAUUCUGGGCACAUAAAUAUGCAGCAAAAUACAAUAUGGUAUGAUUUUGAGCAAUUGAUGAAUAUGUAGAAAAAUUAUUCAAUCCUGAUGUUUGAAAUAUGCUACUUUGAGUAGCAGCCUUGUAGUGACCUAAAUGUAUUUCUGUAGAUAAAAUUGAACUAUGUGGUACUAUAGUGAAUAAUGUGUGUUACAAUAUAAUAGCAUGCACAAUUGUAUAUAUGAAGUUUAGAACACUUCUACAUUUUAAUAUCUGUAAUAUGAUUAUACUCAUAUAUGUGUACUCAGAUUUUAAAACAUAAUAAAAUAUAAAUGUUA
rnacentral:lncRNA from 1 species